rnacentral:lncRNA from 1 species
AUAUUCACUUUAGUACUCUUUAGUUUUAACCUUGUCAUUGAUUUAACGGAAAAAAGUAAUGGAUGCGAUAAUAAAAAAGAUAAAAAUGAAAUCCACAGAAACACUUAAUUGAUAUACUUUAAAACACAGGGUACUAAAUUGAUACAAAAUACUUAGAUACCGACUAGUUUAUCGAAUAUUCACUUUAGUUACCUCUUUAAUUUUAACUUGUCACUUGAUUUAACGAAAACAAAUAAUGGAAUCGAAUAAUAAAAAGAUAAAAAUAAAAAUUACAGAAUACUUAAAUUGAUAUACUUUAAACCACAGGGUACUUAAAUUGAUAAAAAUACUUCAGAUACCCACCUAGGUUUAUCGAAUAUUUACUUAGUAGCCCCUUAAUUUUAAACUUUGUCACUGAUUUAAUGAAAAAAAAUAUGGAAUCGAUAAUAAAAAGAUAAUAAAUAAUACAGAACACUUAAAUUGAAUAUACUUUAAAACCACAGGGUACAAAUUAUAUCACAAAAUACUUCAAAUACCCCACCUAGGUUUAUCGAAUAUUCACUUUAGUACUCUUUAAUUUUAACCCUGUCACUGAUUUAACGAAAACAUAAUGAAUCGAUAAUAAAAAGAUAAAAAUAAAAAUCACAGACAAAAAAUACUUCAGAUACCCCACCUAGGUUUAUCGAAUAUUCACUUUAGUACUCUUUAAUUUUAACCUUGUCACUGAUUUAACGAAAAAAGUAAUGGAAUCGAUAAUAAAAAGAUAAAAAUAAAAUCACAGAACACUUAAAUUGAUAUACUUUAAACCACAGGGUACAAAUUAAUAAAAAAUACUUCAGAUACCCCACCUAGGUUUAUCGAAUAUUCACUUUAGUACUCUUUAAUUUUAACCUUGUCACUGAUUUAACGAAAAAAGUAAUGGAAUCAAUAAUAAAAAGAUAAAAAUGAAAUCACAGAGCACUUAAAUUGAUAUACUUUAAACCUACUUAAAUUGAUACAAAAUACUUCAGAUACUCCACCUAGGUUUAUCGAAUAUUCACUUUAGUACCCUUUAAUUUUAACUUUGUCACUGAUUUAACGAAAAAAAAAUAAUGGAAUCGAUAAUAAAAAGAUAAAAAUAAAAUUACAGAACACUUAAAUUGAUACACUUUAAACCACAGGGUACUAAAAUGAGAAAGUGUGAAACCACAUGAGUGGUAUUUGAAGUUUUCCCAAAAAAUA